GGGCUGCCUGAACGUUGGGCCGCGGAGAGGGCGCGGCUGAGCCUCCUGCUCUCUUUCUGGGAGCAGCCCGGGUCCCGGGUCAGUAAUCCUCCCCGGCGCCCCCUGCCUGCCCGGUGUGGAGCAACCUGGUCACGCGGGACCAGGGCGAUUGGGUUUGGGGCGGGGGCGGCGAGAUCCGCAUCCCCCACUCAUUCUGCAAAGCUGUUGGGUGACUCGCCCGGCAUUGCCUGCCGAACGGACACUGUCUGACACGACCCGAAUCUCAGCCGGGACUGUAUGCGACUGGGCUGUGUUCAAAGGCUUCUACCCCGAGUCUAAGGGGACUCGGCGGCGCCGAGCCACGGAGCAGCCUCGAGCGUUUCUCCGCAGUGUAGGCACGCGGGGCUCGAGCUGCCUCGGGAGAGGACAGGCCGCCCUCGGUUCACUCGCAUUUGGCACUUGCUGAAACAGAACUCUAAUUAUUUUGCUUGUAGGCCAGAGAAAUGAGAGAUGGGGGUGGGUGGAAUGUUUUUCUUCAGUGAAGUCCCCAGUCUCCCGCUCCCGUCCAUUCACAUUAGAACCAAGUACGGUAGGUAUUCCAUGCCUUUCAGCCUGCCGCGUCCCUGCAGCACUGCGCGGAAGGCAGUGACACAUAGGCGCUCAGUUUCGCCGGCGGUGGGAGUUCGGUGGGCGAGAUGCUGUCAUCCAUCCCAGGCGCUUUUCCAGUGCUUCGUCCAGUCCUCACCCAAGCACUCUCACACUCCCUAAUACAUUUCUCUCCCCCCCCCCGUUUUGGUCUCAGGGAUCAACCUAAAUGUAGAGCUCUUUGUGUCACCAGUUCAUCUGUGUCUUCUUUAAAUAUUGUUCAUUUCACUUAGCUUCGGUAGUGUCAAGGCGUGCCAAUGGAAUUGUUUUUCCUGUUUGCUUUUAACCGAGUCUGAUGUCUUUAUUCUCAUCUGAGGGGGAAUAAAUGUACAUAUGCUUGGAGGCUCGAAGGCUUCAAUUCUGACUAAAGGUUAGGAAGGAGUGUGUGUGUGUGUGUGUGUGUGUGUGUGUGUUCGCGCGCGCGCGCGCGCGUGUGGUUGUUGUUGUUGGGAGGGGGCGGGGAGCCUGCUUCAACCAUGCCUAAGUUGUGAAAUGAAAGCCUAAGGCUUUGCGCCGCGCCUCAUUGCCAGGCAUCCGCCGAAGUGAAAGCAGAACACAAAACACUUUGGAUUUUCUUAUACAACCUUUUCAACUGUUUUAAUUGGUCAAGAAAGCUGUACACUGCUGUUUUAAAAUAUUCCCGCAUGCACAGUCCACUCAACACCCCGAAUCUGAGCUUCGUUUUUGAUCGGAUACUUGUCAUUCAACCGGUGGGAGACACAUUCAUUUUGUGUCCAGUGUCGGUAAUGAUGCCGUUGCAGUUUUCAGACAGCUAGAACCGAACUCUUACAAACUUUUCCUGCUGAGCCUCAGGUUCCCACUUGCAGAGAUCCAGCUGUUGCUGCCACAGAUGCUUUCUUUAGAAGCCCUGCUUUGUGCAAAUUUUCAUUUACAAUCUGAGUAAUAAAGGAAAUCAUAUUUAAACUACGGAUUUUUGUAUUUUAAAGCACUAGUUCCUUUUGACGAGUAGCGUGUGGCAGAGAUAGUUGGUGACCUCUGCAGUGCAAUCAUCCAACGAAAAUUUAGCUUCUCUGUCUGUACUGGUUUCUUUCUCUUUUUGGGUUAGGAAGAAGCAGUGUGACCAGCAUAUUUAAAAAAAAAAAAAACAAAACUACCUUUACCGUGGCAAAAGUAAACAUUUCAGUGAAAACAGGUCGCGUAGAAAUACUUGUUCUCUCGAUUGAUUGCUUGUUAUUCUUUUUGUCUUUUGUAAAUUUCUUUGGUGGUCUUAAGUUCUUGCUUGAUCUUGGCCGUGGUACAGGAGGAGCCCAUGGAGGUCGACCAGAGACCACAUACCCUGAAAAUAGCCCCUGAAGCUACACCAAGAUUGAAUACACAACCCAAUUUGCAAUUCCUGUGUCUUAUUUUUUGCAAAUAGUUGGAAGUUGAUAAAUUCGUUAAAAAUCGUGAGAGAAUUUAAAUUUCAAUUAAAAAAUAAAGAAUGGAAAAGCAAGAAGAUUGCCGCCUGUACUGUCUAAAGCGCCUGACUUUUAUUUCCAUCUUUAAGAAAAGAAAAUUAAAAGCCAAGUCAAGCCUGGCAGUCCUGGGAGACUUCCCAGCCGUUUUCAUGGGCAGCUAGAAUAGCACCUGGGCCAUGCCAGAAACGCCAGUUGCAACUCUCCUGAUGAAUGGGAAGGAAGUGAAUUUGGGUCUGCCCAGCAUAUCUAAGUCUGAAACACGAAGGAACCCCCACCCCACUUACCUGAAGUGACAGCGGGCAGGAUUUCAAUCACAGCAAUGAGUUGCAUACAGUAACCCCCUUAGCUACCAGCCCCCCAGAAGUCUCGUAAAGACGCAGAAGGCAGCGAUGCGAUUAGCAAGACGGUGUUGAGGAGGGCACUUGUUACUUCUACACUUGAAUCUCUGUUUAAAAACAGAUUCCGAAGUAGGAAAGGUAGAUGCCGACUUUCCCUCCUGUCCUUAAACUCCUCACCGUAGCAGCCCAGGACCUAAG
rnacentral:lncRNA from 1 species